GGAAUAUUGGACAAUGGGGGCAACCCUGAUCCAGCAAUGCCGCGUGAGUGAUGCAGGCCUUAGGGUUGUAAAGCUCUUUUACCCGGGAUGAUAAUGCCAGUACCGGGAUCAUAAGCUCCGGCUAACUCCGUGCCAGCAGCCGCGGUAAUACGGAGGGAGCUAGCGUUGUUCGGAAUUACUGGGCGUAAAGCGCACGUAGGCGGCUUUGUAAGUUAGAGGUGAAAGCCUGGAGCUCAACUCCAGAAUUGCCUUUAAGACUGCAUCGCUUGAAGCCAGGAGAGGUGAGUGGAAUUCCGAGUGUAGAGGUGAAAUUCGUAGAUAUUCGGAAGAACACCAGUGGCGAAGGCGGCUCACUGGACUGGUAUUGACGCUGAGGUGCGAAAGCGUGGGGAGCAA
rnacentral:rRNA from 1 species